GUAGGUACAGCUCAGUGGUAGAGCAUGUGCUUAGCAUGCACGAGGUCCUGCGUUCAAUCCUCAGUACCUCCA
rnacentral:tRNA from 1 species